rfam:Callithrix jacchus chromosome 1, whole genome shotgun sequence
ACUAGAGCCAAAUCUAUCUCAAAAGUUUAGGUCAUUUUUUUUCCUUUUUGAUAGUAUUCAAUGAGAAAUAAUACUUAAAAUAAAACUUUUUCCAUGAGGAAGGUACAGUAAUUAUCCAC